CGCGGCCUAUCAGCUUGUUGGUGAGGUAACGGCUCACCAAGGCAUCGACGGGUAGCUGGUCUGAGAGGACGAUCAGCCACACUGGGACUGAGACACGGCCCAGACUCCUACGGGAGGCAGCAGUAGGGAAUCUUGCGCAAUGGGCGAAAGCCUGACGCUGCAUCGCCGCGUGGGGGAUGAAUGCCUUCGGGUUGUAAACCCCUUUCAGCAGGGACGAAAAUGACGGUACCUGCAGAAGAAGCUCCGGCCAACUACGUGCCAGCAGCCGCGGUAAUACGUAGGGAGCGAGCGUUGUCCGGAAUUAUUGGGCGUAAAGAGCUCGUAGGCGGUUCAGUAAGUCGGGUGUGAAAACUCAAGGCUCAACCUUGAGGCGCCACUCGAUACUGCUGUGACUUGAGUCCGGUAGAGGAGUGUGGAAUUCCUGGUGUAGCGGUGAAAUGCGCAGAUAUCAGGAGGAACACCAGCGGCGAAGGCGGCACUCUGGGCCGGUACUGACGCUGAGGAGCGAAAGCAUGGGGAGCAAACAGGAUUAGAUACCCUGGUAGUCCAUGCCGUAAACGUUGGGCACUAGGUAUGGGACCAUAUCAACGGGUUCCGUGCCGUAGCUAACGCAUUAAGUGCCCCGCCUGGGGAGUACGG
rnacentral:rRNA from 1 species